rnacentral:rRNA from 1 species
GACUAACGCUGGCGGCGUGCCUAACACAUGCAAGUCGAACGAGGUAGCAAUACCUAGUGGCAGACGGGUGAGUAACGCGUAGAUAAUGUGCCCUCUUGCGGGGGAUACCGUUUCGAAAGGAACGUUAAUACCGCAUAAUACGACCUGAAGGCAUCUUCAGGACGUUCAAACUUCCGGGGCGGGAGGAGCAGUCUGCGUUCUAUCAGUUAGUUGGUGGGGUAAUGGCCUACCAAGACUACGACGGAUAACUGGUCUGAGAGGAUGAUCAGUCACACUGGAACUGAGACACGGUCCAGACUCCUACGGGAGCAGCAGUGAGGAAUAUUGCGCAAUGGGCGAAAGCCUGACGCAGCGACGCCGCGUGGAGGAUGAAGGCC